UGGCUUUUUACCAUGAAUAUAGUAGUUAUUAUUGAAGCACACUUUCCUCUAGAACAUUGCUACACAAACAGUGGUACAGGGGCCAGGUACAUUAGUAUCAUAUGUGAUCUUCUUAAAAAUGGAAAAUAUUGGUCCUGACCCCAGAUUUAAAAAGUUACAGCCUUCAUUUUAACAAGAUCUCCACUGCAGAUUUAGGUGCACAUGAACAUUUGAGAAGCACUGCCCUAGGUGUCUUACCCCUAGAGAACAGGUGCAUACACUGGUCAUUCUCUGAUUUCUCUCAGUGCUUAAUACACUUCUUGUGCCAUAAGGUUCUAAUGAUUUGUUAACUAAAUUUCUUAAAACAAAUUCUAAAAACUGAAAAUGCACUCAUACUUUAUUUUUAAUUUUUUCUUGAGAUAAAAUUUACAUUACAUAAAAUUCACAAUUUUAACCAUUUUAAAGUGUACAAUUCAGUGGGAUUUAGUAUAUUUACAAUACUGUAAAACUAACAUCACUAUUUAAUCUAUUUAAUUCCAGAAGAUUUCCUUCAUCCUAAAAAGAAAUUCUAUACCUUCCAGUAUCCCUUCCCCCCACCUCUUGGUAAGAACUACCUUGCUUUCUGUCUCUGUGGAUUUGCCUCUUCUGUACGUUUCAUAUGAAUGGAAUGAUACAUUGAUACAUUAUGUGGCCUUCCUUUUGUGGCUUCUUUCACUUAGCAAAAUGUUUUCAAGGUUCAUCUAUAAAACUUUAUUCCUUUUUAUGGCUAAAUAAUAUUCCAUUGCAUAAAUAUACCACAUUUUAUUUAUCCAUUCAUCAGUUGGCAGGCAUUUGGGUUGUUUUUACUUUUCGGCUAUUAUGAAUAUUGAUAUUCAUACGAAGAUUUGUGUACAAAUUUUUAUGAGAACAUGGUUUUUAAUUUUGGAGGAGUAUAUUCGCAGGAGUGGAACUACUAGGUCCUAUAGUAACUAUAUAUUUAACUUUGAGGAACUGCAAAACUAUUUUCAAUAGCAGCUGCACCAUUUUACAUUCCCACUAGCAAUGUACAGGAACUAAAAUUGUUUAUACCCUUGCCAACUCUUGUUAUUUUUCAUUUUAAAAAAAUUAUACCCAUUCUAGUGAGCAUGAAGUGCUACCUCAUUAUUGGUUUUAUUUUUAGUAGAGAUGGAGUAUCACUAUGUUACCCAGGCUGGUCUCCAACUCCUGGGCUCAAGUAACCCUCCUGCCUUGGCCUCCCAAAGCACUGGAAUUAUAGGGGUGAGCCACCACACCUGGCCCAUUGUAGUUUUGCUUUGCAUUUCCCUAAUGACUAAUGAUGCUGAGCAUAUCUCCAGGUUCUUACUGGCCAUACCUUCUUUGGAGAAAUGUUUAUUAAAAAGCAUUGCCCAUUCUUAACUGUUACUCGUCUAUCGUUGAGUUGUAGGAGGUCUUUAUAUAUUCGGAAUACUAGACGUUUAGCAGACAUAUGAUUUGCAAAUAUUCUCUCCCAUUGUGUGGGCUGUCUUUUCACUCAAUUAAUAGUUUCUUUUGAUACACAACUUUUAAAUUUUUGAUGAAAUAAAAAUUAUCCAUUUUUUUAUUUUGAUAUAUAUGGUUUUGGUGUCAUAUUUAGGUAACCACUGCUUAGUCCAAGUUCACAAAGAUAUACAUCUAUGUUUCCUUCUCAGAAUUUGGUAGUUUUAGUGCUACAUUUAGGUCCCUGAUUCUUUUUGGGUUAAUUUUUGUAUAUGGUGUAAUAUAGGGGUUCAGCUUCAUUAUUUUGCACCUGGAUAUCCAGUUGUCCUAGCACCAUUUGUUGAAAAAACUAUUCUUUCCCUAUUAAAUGGUCUUGACACCAUUGCAGAAAUAAGUUGACUGUAGAUGGACGGACUCAUUUCUGGAUUCUCACUUCUAUUGCAUUGAGAUUACAUAGAUAGAUAGGUAGAUAGACAGACAGAUGAUAGAUAGAUAGAUAGAUAGAUAGAUAGAUAGAUAGAUAGAUGAUAGAUAGAUAGAUAAAUAGACAGGUAGACAUAGAGAUAUCUUAUGCCAAUACCACACUGUUUGAAUACCAUUGUUUUGAAAUUGAAAAGUGUGAAUGCUCUGACUUUGUCCUUCUUUUUAAAGAGUUUUGGCCAUUUUUGGUCCCUUGCAAUUCCAAAUGAGUUUUAAUAUCAGCUUGUCAUAUAAGAUCAUGUCAUCUGCAAAUAGGGAUAGUUUUAUUUCUUCCUUUCCUGUGUGGAUGCAUUUUGUUUCUUUUUUCUUUUCUUUUUCCCCCUAAUUCCCUGGGUAAAAUUUCAAAUGCAAAGUUGAAAGGAAGUGACAACAAUGGACAUCCUUGCCUUUUUCCUGAUUUUAGAAGAAAAGCUUUCAGACUUUCAACAUUAAGUAUGAUGUUAGGUGUGGGUUUCUUAUAGAAACCCUUUAUUAAAUUGAGAAUGUCUUCCUUAUUCCCAGUUUGCUAAGUGUUUUUAUCAUGAAAGCAUAUUGGAUUUUGUCAAAUGCUUUCUCUUUGUCUAUUGAAGUGAUCACAUGUAUUGUUUCUUUCAUUUUAUUAAUAUGGUGUAUUACAUUGAUUAAUUUUUAAAUGUUGAACUACCCUUGCAUUCCUGGGAUAAAUUUCACUUGGUAAUGGCGUAUAAUCCUUCCAAUGUUCUGCUGUAGUCGGUUUAUUAGUACUUUGUUGAAGAUUUUUGCAUGUAUAUACAUUAGGGAUAUUAGGCUGUAGUGUUUUUCUUAAAAAAAAGCUACAUGUUUUCGGCAUUGUAUUGAAGUAGUAUUAGCCUCAUGAUAUGAGUUAAAAAUCAUUCCUUCCUCUUCGUUUUUUUUUUUUUUUUUUUUGGAAGAGUGAGAAGGAUUAGUCUUAACCCUCCUUUUAAUAUUUGGUAAAAUUCACCAGUGAAGCCAUUUUGCUCCUGAACUUUUCUUUUGGGAAGUUUUACGAUUAUUAAUCCAACUUCCUUAUUUGUUAUAUGUCUAUUCAGAUUUUCUAUUUCUUCUGAGUCAGUUUCAGUAGUUUGUGCCUUUCUAGGAAUUUGUCUGUAUUAUCUAAGUUAUGUAACUUUUUGCCAUACAGUUGUUCAUAGCAUCCUCUUAUAAUUAUUUUCACCUCUGUAAGGUCAGUAAAAAUGUCCUUAAUUUCAUUCCUGACUUCUUGCUACUUUCAAAAUUAUCUUUGUCUUUUUCUUUCAAUAGUUUGAUUAUGAUUUGUCUAGGGGUAAAUCUCUUUGAGUUUAUCCUGUUGGGUUUUGUUAAAUUUCUUGGGUGUGUAGAUUAAUGUGUUUCAACAAAUUUGGGGAGUUUUGAGCCAUUAUUUAUUUAAAUAUUCUUCUGCCUUUUUUCUCUUCCCUCUCCUUCUAGGACUCCUCUUAUGUGUAUGUUGGUAUAUAUGAUGAUGUCUCACAGAUCUCUCAUGCUGUAUUCAUUUUUUUCUUUAUUCUCUUUCUGCUCCUCAGAUUGGAUAAUCUUAAUUGAUUUAUCUUCAAAUUAACUGAUAUUUUCUUCUGCCUGCCCAAUCUUCAGUUGAUGAAUUUUUCAUUUUAGUUAUUGUACAUUUCAACUCUUAAAUUUCUAUUUGGUAUCUUUUAAUAAUUUCUAUCCCCUUAUUUCUAGUCUCUAUUUUAUGAGAUGUUUUCGUGCUUUUCUUUUUCUAAGCAGGAUUUCCUGUAGCUCUUUGAACAUAUUUAAAAUAGCUACUUUAAAGUCUUUGUCUUACAAGUCUAAUGUCUGGGCUUUCUUAGGAGCCAGUUAUAUUAAUUGCUAUUUUUUCUGUGUAUGGGCCAUAUUUUCCUGUUUCUUUUCGUGCCCCCAAAUUUUUGUUGCAAAUUUGACAAGUUGGAUAUUACAGCAUGGAAACUCUGGAAAUCAGAUUCUUCCCCUCUUCGGAGUUUGCUUUUUCUGCUUGUUGUAGUUGUUGUUUAUAUUUUAGUGAUUUUUUAAAACUAGUUUUAAAAAAUUAAGCUAAUUUACAAAACUAGUUUUAAAAAAUCACUAAAAUUAAUUCUGUAUUAUUUGUCAUGUGUGCCCCCUGAAGUCUCUGUUCCAUUAGCUUAGUCAUCAGCUAAAGAUUUAACAAAGAUUUCUAUAAAUAUCCUGAACAAAAAAAUUUCCCAAUCUUUGCAGAAGUGUCUGUUUUGAUGCAUGACUUCAAUAUUCAGCCUGGCAAUUUACAACUCAGCUAUAGCUUUCACUUUCUGAUUGCACAGAGCCUGAGGAUCAGCCAGAGGGGAAAAAAUAUUUGCCUGUAAAUGUUUUUGAGCAACGGUUUCCAAGUAGUGGCUUUAGUCCUGGGUGACUUCUGACUUAGGUAAGAUAAAACAAAUCUUUUGAGCCAACCUUCCAAGGAACCACCAGGCAGACCAAGGACGAUCUUUGCAAAAGAGGUCUAUUCUGCUUCUUCAGUGCUGGAACUGGCAAUGCAGGCUUCUAUUGUCAAGGCUACUGCUGAGCUGAGGAAAAAAGGAUAGAACUAGUGUAAGUUAAAACACCACAAAGCUCACUAUAAUUAUAAAGAUUCAGCAGUUUUUCUUGAAUAAAUGCUCCGUGGGUUGUUGCAAGCUUUUGUUAGUUUUCAGCAUUCCAAAAAUAUUGAUUCUGACAGGUUUUUUUCCCCAUUUUUUAGUUGAUUUUAAUGAGGGAUAGACUUUUAGAGUUGCUUACCCUGCCUCUUGUGCUGACGUCAUUCCUCUGCACACAUACUUUUAAUCAGAAUGAGUCAGGUACAUAAAGGAGCAAAUGCAUUAUAGGUCAACAGGUUGCUUUCCAAAUUGUCUCUUCAAAUUCUCUUUCUUUAUGAGAAAAUAUUUUGCUGAGACUUGCUUCUUAAGAAAAUGACCUGUGAUUUAUAUCGUGAUUCAAAUUUUAUGUUGCAAAUCUUCAUAUGAGCAAACGCAUCUCUGAAGAGAUCCAGUGAGAGAGUUGCUCAAUCAUCAAGAUGAAACGAGAGCGCCAGGCCAGGAUGAAAAUAAACUAGUGAUGAACAAGAAGAAAGAUAGAUGAUAUUUAUUGAGACUAUCCAGAGCUGAAGAUACAGCAGUCAUCAAAGCAUAGAAAUUCUUCACUCUCAAGGACCUUACAUUCUAGUAAAGCCAACAAGAAUUGCUUAACGGGUCGAAUGUGGGAGAAAGAAAAUGAAGAAUUUUCUCACAGACUAGCUUCUGGUAAUGAAGCCGAGCACCACUUCAUGAGCUGGGCACCAUAAGAUAGGUUCAUAUCCUGAUAUGAACUCUGGCUCUGCAUCUUCAUGUCAACAUAUCUGAUCCAAAUCUUUUGUGAGUUAUAUGAGUAGUUAUUAUAUCAAGAAUUCUUCCUGUAAAGAAAUAAUCCAUCCUCCACUCAGUCCACCUCUUAUAUCACACUUCAGGUCCUACAAAAUGUUCGGCAUUUUCCCAACUACAUCCACCUCCUUGGCACAUUAAAAUGAGUGUUGUACCAAAUGCCCAUCAAUGAUAGACUGGAUAAAGAAAAUGUGGCACAUAUACACCAUGGAAUAUUAUGCAGCCAUAAGAAAGAAUGAGUUCAUGUCCUUUGCAGGGACAUGGAUGAAGCUGGAAGCCAUCAUUCUCAGCAAACUAACACAGGAAUAGAAAACCAAACACCGCAUGUUCUCACUCAAAAGUGGGUGUUGAACAAUGAGAACACAGGGAGCGGAACAUCACACACCAGGGCCUGUAGGGGGUGGGGGGCAAGGAAAGGGAGAGCAUUAGGACAAACACCUAAUGCAUGCGGGGCUUAAGACCUAGAUGAUGGGUUGAUGGAUGCAGCAAACCACCAUGGCACAUGUAUACCUAAGUAACAAACCUGCACAUUCUGCCCAUGUAUCCCAGAACUUAAAAUAAAAAAAAAAUUAAAAAG
rnacentral:lncRNA from 1 species